rnacentral:misc_RNA from 1 species
AAGUCGUAACAAGGUUUCCGUAGGUGAACCUGCGGAAGGAUCAUUAACACGAAUUUUAUCCACUAUCAAACCAAACGCGAACUUUUCCCCUCCCUAUUCAAAAGAAAGUUUCUUUCUUUCGUUUAGGCUAACCUUUUUAUAAUUUCAAACUCCUUCAAACUUAACUAGUUUUUCCUUGCUUCUUCGGAAGUCUGAGAAAACUACUAACUAAAAAAACCAUUUCCAUUAAAUUGGGAUUGAUUUUUCGAUUUACGAAAAAUAAAGAACAACUCUUAACAAUGGAUAUCUUGGUUCUC